AAACAAACAACAAAUCUGUAUUCACAAGCCAAACAACAAAGAUUCCUUUCUUCCUUUUUUAUGCUUUUCAAGAAACUCCAAAAUUUAUGAAAAUGCUCAUGGACAAUGUUAAACUCCAAUCUACAGUAUCAACCUUCUUUCAUUUUGGUGCAACUCAAUGUGCAGAGCAUUCACUUUGAGUAUUAUUGGUUAACCAAUAGCUGCUCGCCAUGUGUACUUGAUGCCACUUGAUAUCUAGCUGCAUUUUCCAUUUUCAAUCUGCCUUCGUGAUCAGACACUACUGUAGUAGCAGAAGCCUUCGUCGUAGCGGAGCUCACACCCUUCUUUCUCCUCUUCGGCGACCCACUCUCCGACCCUGAUGAUGUCGAAGAUGAUGGCUCCGGUGAUGACCUCUUCGAAGUCACUCUCACAGGGUCCGGCUCCCCGGAAUUCACCCUCAAUGGGAAAUUCAACAAAGCCUUCGACCCACGCAUUCUAUAUGCGGCGCGAUCAUAUGCCAAAGCCGCAUCCUCCGCUGUCUCGAAUGUGCCUAACCAAACCCGAGCCCCUUUUUUUGCCGGGUCUCGAAUCUCCGCUGCGAAUUUACCCCACGGCCGCCGCCUGACUCCCCUGUAAUGCUUCCCCUUCGCAGGGGCCGCUGCGGGAGUAGUAGUAACAGCAGCAUCAGCAUCUUGAGACUCAAUCGUCUCAGGAGGCAGUACAGUGGUCGCCGGAGUAGCAACACUCUCCUGCAACAACGCGAAAUUCUCCUGGGGUUCCAACUUCACCGGAGGGAAAUCCGGUUGCAGCUCAUUCUUGAGGCAAGGGACCCAGCCAACAGUGAGAGCGUCGCGGAGGACGCCGUAAAGCACCAUAUCUUCAGAAUCAUCGACUUUGAGUGGCAAAUCGCCCCAAGUUUCCGUUAAACAAGGGUACAAACUGCCAAAGCUUGAGCUCCUGCAAUAUACAGGGGUAGUGGCAGGAAGAGCAGGGGUUGAAUUAUUACAAGAAGCCAUGGAUUCUCCUAGCAAGUGCCACCGAACUGAUUCAAGAAGGGCAAAAUCGGUCUCACUUUGUCCGUUCAUUUCCUGAAACCUAAAGAAAGAUUACAGACAAGAGAAAAUCUACGAUUAAGGUAAGUGCUCUGUUCUUCUGUUGCGUUGCUUGAGGUUGUCGGU
rnacentral:misc_RNA from 1 species